rnacentral:rRNA from 1 species
UACGGAGGGGACUAGCGUUGUUCGGAAUUACUGGGCGUAAAGCGCACGUAGGCGGAUUUGUAAGUCAGGGGUGAAAUCCUGGAGCUCAACUCCAGAACUGCCUUUGAUACUGGAGAGCUAGAGUCCGGAAGAGGUGAGUGGAACUGCGAGUGUAGAGGUGAAAUUCGUAGAUAUUCGCAAGAACACCAGUGGCGAAGGCGGCUCACUGGUCCGGUACUGACGCUGAGGUGCGAAAGCGUGGGGAGCAAACAGG